rnacentral:misc_RNA from 1 species
UUAACAUAGGCCGAAACGAUUCCAGGGGAUGUGUUUCGCAUUGCGGAGCUUCUGAGUUCACUGCUGAGGAACAUGUUUUGCAGAGUUGGAUGACGAAGAACUCAGCCUGAAGAGUGCUACCCUUGAAAGAGGACCUUCCAUAAAACUUUGACCUCAUUCUAUGGAUUCUUGGGCAUUCUUAAUCCAAAAGCAGUCUUAGAAGAGACUGAGUUCCAAGUUCUUCUGCCUCACCACUGGAGAUACGAUAGUGAUCAACCAUAAUAGUGGAGAUCAAGCCUUCUUCUGCAGUUUGCAUUCUUGAUAUUGAUUGCGAGGUUGAUUUUGCUCCUCUGGAUUAUAAAGUACCUGUAAAACCUACCAAACAAGCUAAAGAGAAGGAGCCUAGCAAGAAGGAAGCAAAGUUCAUUGCAGUUACACGUUUAUCAAGACGUGUGGAUGGGAGGCCUGGAGCACAAUUGGCUUCACCCACGUCAUCUUCCAUUGAGGAAAAGAACCACACGAAAAAUUAAUGCAGAGUUGAGAUCGCCAAAAAUGUCCAGAAAAGCAAGUGUUUAGUUCCCCUGAUUCUGAAAACAGAUCAGAAAAGCCACAGACCUUCGCAAAGAAUAAGCAAUUUCAGCCAGUCGCAAGGAAGAAGUACUCAUUUUCAAUUUUUACAAAUUAAUUAGCAAUUCUUUCAGAUCCCUCGUUUAAUUGUUUUGUUUUGUUUUGGUUUACACGAUUGCAGUUAAGCCAAGAGGCCAAUUGAUAAUGCAACAGGUGCAGACUCGUGGCAAAAUCAGAGUCGUAUCACAGGGUGCUCAAGUGAUGAUAGAGUAAAUAAAUCAUAUUUAUAGAUAUGCAAAACUCAAAACCCAUAUUCGGGGGUUUUUCUGUGUCCCUCUUACCAGAAGGACCCCAGCAAAGUAGUGCAGCUGAUAUCACAACCAGCAGAUGGAUACGUCUUAGGAACACGAAUUCAUGGUGGAGCCAACAGAUACAGCAUAUAUAGUAGGAUCACUCCUAGAAUGAAACCUAGGAGAAACCCAGCAAAUAACCUUUGUUAAUUAAAUUAAAGAUUUUGAAAACAACCAUCCAGAAAACAACUCCACUGUCUCAUUGUCUCUUCGCUUGGGAUGAAACAAUGCUUAAUGAUAUGAAUGUUUGAUUCAACAGUUGCAAUUACGCUAAUUUUCAAAUAGACACAGUAUCACAAAAUGAACUAUAUUGUAUGGUUGGCAAUAAAUCCAUCAAACAAUGCAACACUACAGACCCAACCAUGUUGAGGAAAUUUCAGUAGCAUGUGGAUAAAACUGAUGGAAUAGUAGUGAUAGCUACAUCUAACAAAACAACACUGCUGAAGCAGCAGAACAGAGACUGGCCAGGGCUGCUUCUUCAUUGAAAAAAAAUUAACCCAAGUGCCAACAAGCAUAGGUGGUUUAAACUAUGUACAUCCCCUACCUGGUUUAGAGCACACUGAAGUUUACUCGAGUCUAAACUCAAAAUUUCUCCAGUUCUCCUUAUCUCUGAUGAAAGCUCCCCUUGCUUUUUCUUCAGCUGGGUACUUGCCUUCACCUAAUUUCAAUUCUUCAGGAAAACAAGCCAUCUACAGAAAAUUCAUAGAGCCCCUCCCCAUAAGUACAUUAAUUUAAAAGACCAAAUCUAUCUAUAGUCUUAAAAAGGUUCCUGUCAUCCAUAUGACAAAUAAAAUUAGAACCCUGCAGUCGUGUUUAUCUUCCCUUACAAAACCACCAUAUUUGUUUUUCAUUGCAACUUUGCAAGGCAAGCUUACCAAAAAGAUAAAGAAUUAUGAGAAGUCACUAUUGCAACAACACUAGUAUGGUAUCAAGUGGCAACACUGGAAAAUAAAAACAUGCAAAAGCAAAAUCAUUAGAAUACCUUAGCCAUUACAGAAAUAUGAUACAAAUAUACAAGCAAAGUUAUGAAAAGCUUGCAACAACUGGAAGAAAACUGCCAGUAAGGAAUUGGGCUAUAAUAUUCAAACCGUCUACAAUACUUUUAACACCCUCAUUUAGUGAUGCAAAAAUACCUUCAACGCGAUUGCAAACUUUCAUGCAAGCCAUCAGAAAGGAGUACAAACCAUCUAAAAUCAAGCAGUGAAAUACAAACAGGUGUCCAGAUGUCAGCAAUGAACUGCAAAUUUUUCUUGCAUGGCGAUGAGCAAUUAGUCAAACUGAAGCAGUUUUUUCACGCCUUGAAUUGCAAAUUUAGUUUGAACCCAGUCGUAUUAACAGCUUUACUAACUUCUAUUUAAUAGGAUUAACUUGACUAUAAAAUUUGGUGAAGUCAAGCCGGAACAGGAGAAAUUUCAAAUCAACAUGUUGCUGCACAGGCAAUUGAGAUAAGAAUCCUUCUAGCAAUGUUGUAUAUUCCUUUGCUAUGGCAUCCAGUUCCUGCCCCAUAUUUCGAAGGAAUUCCCCAGCACGUUGUGUUAAGGCCUUCCUGCCAUCGCUAAUCCAUGAUCCAGGUUCUGAGGAUUUAUCUGAGGUCUGCCUUCUUGAUUUGUUCUUGUCUUGAGAAGGUAAGGAGGAUGCCAUGGUUCUUGCUUGCAAUUCAUGAAUGCCUUCAUACAACCGAUCUGCAUGACUUCUGAAACGUAAUAUGAGGUCAAACAAGACAAAGAGAGACUUGUAAAGGGGCUGAGAACGUUCACCAAGAAGAGAUUUCUCCACAAUUGAAUGGAGAUACUGCUCAUGGGCUGCAAGUAGAUCAUCAAGAUCUUUUGCUACUUCCAUCUCAUUUGAAAAGUUAGACCAUGAUACCUCCAAGACUUCAAACAUGAUAUAAUAUUGCAGGUUGGUAACAAAAUGAUUCAUCUCAUUCCAAAGAACUUGACAUCGCCUCAAUGUUGAAAGUAACUGCAACUUAACUGCACCCUGCAGCUUAGUGAAAGAACGAGAUGUAAUACAAUUUGGUUUCAUCAUCUUCCAAGCACCAAUAAGCACAUGCUCUACUCGUCUCAAUUUCCACAGAAAAUUAAAAAUUCUUAAAUACCUUCCCAUUACAGACUCUGUGAACACUGUAUCUAGUGGAACUCUAGCAUCAUAUUCCAAUGAAAAUACAUCCCAGCCCCUAUCUCCAGUGCCAUGUGGCAUCAUCUUAACCCUCAAUCUAUCUAAAAUAUCACAGUCAUCAUACUGAGCAUUAGAUGAUCGAAUUGCACUUUCCAGCAAUCCUGCUAGCUUGAAUGAGCUAAUGGUAUUAGCAGGCUCAGAAAGCUCUGGCCCAACAAUAUCCAUUAGAUACUGAACAAAAUCACCUUGGCCUAGUAGUAAAUACUGUUUGAUUGCAAGGCAAUGCUCUUUGAACUUAAACCUCGUGUACAUAACAUCCAAUAGAUGCUUAUCUAUUCUCUUUGCUGCUUCAACAACCAGAGUUUCAAGUGCAUCAGUUUCACCAUAUCCAAGACUUCCUCUUCUAGUUGUGGUCCCAGCAGCAGUUGCAGCCUCUGUUGCAGUAUCAGCCCAGCCACGAUCAUCACAACAAACACGAAGGAAAUUUAUUGAUUUCCCAGUCCUCAAGAUGCGCUGAGCAAGAGAUUGUGAAAUAAAUGAGGGAAGCAUCCCAGCAUGGAGCCGGUAACCUUCCCUCCAAAGUGACUCAGCUUUCACAGGCUGACCCACAACAAAGAAUUCAGCAAAAAUGUCCUCCAACUCCCCUUCCAAAACCCAACUCCUAACCAUUUCGAAAAGUGGAGAACACACACGCUGAAGUAAACUCCUCAUAAACUCAUGAACGAGUGGAUCACCGUGCUGGGCAUGCAAAUGAAUAGCCCCAGCCAUUGCACCACCCCUCAAAACUCUACACUUAUCAACCAAAACAGCCAUUAACCUCAUUUUCACCAUUGGUUCUGCAAACCAAACCGACAGUCUCCUCAAUGACAAAUAAUUCCCUGAACUAGCUGUCUCUGAAACCAAUGGAAUAGGAUUCAUUGCCUGUGCUUCGAGCACAGCCAGCAACUUAUAGUAUUCUGAGAGUUCAUCUUGUAAUGCUGCACAAAAUGCCUGCCCUACAGUUCCUACAUCUUCAGCUGGAAACCGAUCCAUGCUCUCUGAAAUACACCCUUUAACCUUUCUGAACAACCACCCCAACUCACAUAGCUUCCUGACAAUAAGCCUAGUAGCUCUAGGAACCUUAACGGUGUCCAACAAGGCAUACCCAUCAACAUUUGCAUCAAAUUUUACGUAUUUCCCAUCAAUACCUUGACAAGCAUAUAAUACAUCUCUUACCAAAACCUCCUCAGAAACCUCAUUUUCCUCUCUAACCAAAUUCACAUACUCCUUAAAAGCAAUCUCACGUAAAUUUUCCGGGUCUUUCGCGACCAAUAAAACUCCAUUAUCCCAACCCCUGUCUCCUCUCUUUAAAUUAUGAAGAACCCGCGAAUCAUUUUUCAAAUCAGGGUCGUUUAAAGCUAAAUUAGGCAACAAAGCCACCGAAUUGGGUCCAUUAUUUGCAGUUUUCCUAUCCUCAGAUAUGAUUUUGAGCAAAUAAAGGACAGCCCACUUGUUAUUAAUGCUACCAGGCCCAGUUUUUAAUGCGAAUUUGUUAAAAAGAUCGGCGAAAGUAAGAGCCUGCGAGGACUUACCCUGAGUGGCAAGGCGGCGCUUUAUAGACUCAGCGAUAGCAGCUGCAUCAGGCGCAAUCGAGGGAGUUAAUCUGCUAGAGAGAAUACGGAUAGCGUAGCGAAGAGCAUUUUGGAAAUCGGGUGCAUUAGGGUUGUGGUUAGGGUUUGAAUUAGGGGCUUUAGAACUGGGGUUUUGGGAGAGUAAGCGAUGGACUAGCUCCUUGACUAGAUCUAGGAUCUUCUGCUGGUCUUCUUCCUCCAUUCCUCUUUUUUCCUUUUCUCAGAGAAAAGAGGAGAAAAAAAGAUAGAAAGCGAGUAAGGGGUUUGAUCAGCGUGUGAGUUGCUG